rnacentral:rRNA from 1 species
AUUGAACGCUGGCGGCAGGCUUAACACGUGCAAGUCGAGCGGAGAUGAGGUGCUUGCACCUUAUCUUAGCGGCGGACGGGUGAGUAAUGCUUAGGAAUCUGCCUAUUAGUGGGGGACAACAUUCCGAAAGGAAUGCUAAUACCGCAUACGCCCUACGGGGGAAAGCAGGGGAUCUUCGGAGCUUGCGCCAAUAGAUGAGCCUAAGUCGGAUUGGCUAGUUGGUGGGGUAAAGGCCUACCAAGGCGACGAUCUGUAGCGGGUCUGAGAGGAUGAUCCGCCACACUGGGACUGAGACACGGCCCAGACUCCUACGGGAGGCAGCAGUGGGGAAUAUUGGACAAUGGGCGGAAGCCUGAUCCAGCCAUGCCGCGUGUGUGAAGAAGGCCUUUUGGUUGUAAAGCACUUUAAGCGAGGAGGAGGCUACCUGGAUUAAUACUCUAGGAUAGUGGACGUUACUCACAGAAUAAGCACCGGCUAACUCUGUGCCAGCCGCCGCCGUAAGAC